rnacentral:tRNA from 1 species
AGGGUAGUAGUUAAUUAUAACAUUUAAUUUGCAUUUAAAAAAUAUUGAAAAUUUCAGUUUACCUUA